AACCAGCACCUCAAGUGGUCAGGAUGAUUAUUGGGCCUAAAGCAUCCGUAGCCUGCUCUGUAAGUUUUCGGUUAAAUCUAUAUGCUCAACGUAUAGGCCGCCGAAAAUACUGCAGUGCUAGGAAGUGGGAGAGGUAGACGGUACUUGGUAGGAAGGGGUAAAAUCCUUUGAUCUAUCGAUGACCACCUGUGGCGAAGGCGGUCUACCAGAACACGUUCGACGGUGAGGGAUGAAAGCUGGGGGAGCAAACCGG
rnacentral:rRNA from 1 species